UUAAUAUGUACGUUCCCGUGACACUGGUGGUGUAACAGAGUGGUUUUGAUUCUGGUCAGAUUGAACCGCUGGUGGAUGCGUUGGCUAUUGAGCGUGUCGAAUGGCAACACGUGACUGGCCUGCGGCUGGCGGCGAACGGGUGAGUAAUGUACUGGACCUGUGCCAGUGGGGAUAACUACGCGAAAGCGUAGCUAAUACCGCAUACGCCCUGGGGAAAGUGGGGACUCUUCAGCCUCGCACUAUUAGAGCGGCCGAUAUCGGAUUAGCUAGUUGGUGGGGUAACGGCUCACCAAGGCGACGAUCCGUAGCUGGUUUGAGAGGACGACCAGCCACACUGGGACUGAGACAACGACUCCUACGGGAGGCAGCAGUGGGGAAUUUUGAUAAUGGGGAACUCGGAUCCAGCCAUUCCAGCAGCGAAGUAAAGGCCUCUCUGGUUGUAAAGCACUUUUAAGAGAGGAAACGGCACGGGAUAAUACCCGUGCAACUGACGUAAAUUGCAGAAUAAGCACCGCAUAACUACGUGCCAGCAGCCGCGGUAAUACGUGGUAAGGUGCAAGCGUUAAUCGGAAUUACUGGGCGUAGCGUGCGCAGGCGGUUCGGAAAGAAAGAUGUGAAAUCCCAGAGCUUAACUUUGAACCUAAUUUUUAACUACCGAGCUAGAGUGUCAGAGGGAGGUGGAAUUCCGCGUAGCAGUGAAAUGCGUAGAUAUGCGGAGGAACACCGAUGGCGAAGGCAGCCUCCUGGGAUAACACUGACGCCUGCGCACGAAAGCGUGGGGAGCAAACAGAUUAGAUACCCUGGUAGUCCACGCCCUAAACGAUGUCAACUAGCUGUUGGGGCCUUCGGGCCUUUAUAUGCAGCUAACGCGUGAAGUUGACCGCCUGGGAGUACGGUCGCAAGAUUAAACUCAAAGGAAUUGACGGGACCCGCACAAGCGGUGGAUGAUGUGAUUGACCUGAUGCAACGGAAAAUCCUACCUACCCUUGACAUGUCUGGAAUCCCGAAGAGAUUUGGGAGUGCUCGCAAGAGAACCGGAACACAGGUGCUGCAUGACUGUCGUCAGCUCGUGUCGUGAGAUGUUGUCGUCCGCAACGAGCGCAACCUUGUCAUUAGUUGCUACGAAAGGGCACUCUAAUGAGACUGCCGGUGACAAACCGGAGGAAGGUGGGGAUGACGUCAAGUCCGUCGGCCCUUAUGGGUAGGCUUCACACGUCAUACAAUGGUUGGACAGAGGGUCGCCAACCCGCGAGGGGGAGCCAAUCCCAGAAACCCGAUCGUAGUCCGAUCGCAGUCUGCAACCGACUGCGUGAAGUCGGAAUCGCUAGUAAUCGCGGAUCAGCAUGUCGCGGUGAAUACGUUCCCGGGUCUUGUACACACCGCCUGUCACACCAUGGGAGUGGGUUUUACCAGAAGUAGUUAGCCUAACCGUAAGGAGGGCGGACACGCACGGUAGGAUUCACGACUGGGGUGAAGUCGUAACAAGGUAG
rnacentral:rRNA from 1 species